rnacentral:sRNA from 1 species
GACAUAAGCAAUUUGUCUUCAGUCACUGAGUUCUUCCAGCCAGUUGUCAUUCUAGAGUCUUCAGGUACUCAUUUAAGAAUGCAAGCCAUAGGUUAUCAGAAUGUAUUUGACAGUAUGUAUUUUUCUUUUGUCCCCAGAGUUGGCAAUGAUGAGAACAUGUCAAACACCUGGAAAUUCCUGUCUCAUUCAACAGACUCACUAAAUAAAAUCAGCAAGGUCAAUGAAUCAACAGAAUCACUUACUGAUGAGGGUACAGACAUGAAUGAAGGACAACUACUGGGAGACUUUGAGAUUGAUUCCAAACAGCUGGAAGCAGAAUCUUGGAGUCGGAUAAUAGACAGCAAGUUUCUAAAACAGCAAAAGAAAGAUGUGGUCAAACGGCAAGAAGUAAUAUAUGAGUUGAUGCAGACAGAGUUACAUCAUGUCCGCACUCUCAAAAUCAUGAGUGAUGUGUACAGCCGGGGGAUGAUGAUAGAUCUGCUUUUUGAGCAGCAGAUGGUAGAAAAGCUGUUCCCCUGUUUGGAUGAGCUGAUCAGUAUCCAUAGCCAAUUCUUUCAGAGGAUUCUGGAGCGGAAGAAGGAGUCUCUGGUGGAUAAAAGUGAAAAGAACUUUCUCAUCAAGAGGAUAGGGGAUGUACUUGUAAAUCAGUUUUCAGGUGAGAAUGCAGAACGUUUAAAGGAGACAUAUGGCAAGUUUUGUGGGCAGCAUAACCAGUCUGUAAACUACUUCAAAGACCUUUAUGCCAAGGAUAAGCGUUUUCAAGCCUUUGUAAAGAAGAAGAUGAGCAGUUCAGUUGUUAGAAGGCUUGGAAUUCCAGAGUGCAUAUUGCUUGUAACUCAGCGGAUUACCAAGUACCCAGUUUUAUUCCAAAGAAUAUUGCAGUGUACCAAAGACAAUGAAGUGGAGCAGGAAGAUCUAGCACAGUCCUUGAGCCUGGUGAAGGAUGUGAUUGGAGUUGUAGACAGCAAAGUGGCAAGUUAUGAAAAGAAAGUGCGUCUCAAUGAGAUUUAUACAAAGACAGAUAGCAAGUCAAUCAUGAGGAUGAAGAGUGGUCAGAUGUUUGCCAAGGAGGAUUUGAAACGGAAGAAGCUUGUACGUGAUGGGAGUGUGUUUCUGAAGAAUGCAGCAGGAAGGUUAAAAGAGGUUCAAGCAGUUCUUCUCACUGACAUUUUAGUUUUCCUUCAAGAAAAAGACCAGAAGUACAUCUUUGCAUCAUUGGACCAGAAGUCAACAGUGAUCUCUUUAAAGAAGCUGAUUGUGAGAGAAGUGGCACAUGAGGAGAAAGGUUUAUUCCUGAUCAGCAUGGGGAUGAAAGAUCCAGAAAUGGUAGAAGUCCAUGCCAGCUCCAAAGAGGAACGAAACAGCUGGAUUCAGAUCAUUCAGGACACAAUCAACACCCU